rnacentral:rRNA from 1 species
GACGAACGCUGGCGGCGUGCCUAAUACAUGCAAGUCGAACGCACAGUUUAUACCGUAGCUUGCUCCACCAUAAACUGUGAGUUGCGAACGGGUGAGUAACGCGUAGGUAACCUGCCUGGUAGCGGGGGAUAACUAUUGGAAACGAUAGCUAAUACCGCAUAAUAUUGAUUAUUGCAUGAUAAUUGAUUGAAAGAUGCUAUUGCAUCACUACCAGAUGGACCUGCGUUGUAUUAGCUAGUAGGUGAGGUAACGGCUCACCUAGACGACGAUACAUAGCCGACCUGAGAGGGUGAUCGGCCACACUGGGACUGAGACACGGCCCAGACUCCUACGGGAGGCAGCAGUAGGGAAUCUUCGGCAAUGGACGAAAGUCUGACCGAGCAACGCCGCGUGAGUGAAGAAGGGUGUCGGAUCGUAAAGCUCUGUUGUAAGAGAAGAACGGGUGUGAGAGUGGAAAGUUCACACUGUGACGGUAUCUUAACAGAAAGGGACGGCUAACUACGUG